GGAAACAGGUGCUAAUACCGCAUAACCAUGAACACCGCAUGAUGUUCAUGUAAAAGACGGCUUUUGCUGUCACUUUUGGAUGGGCCUGCGGCGUAUUAACUUGUUGGUGGGGUAACGGCCUACCAAGGUGAUGAUACGUAGCCGAACUGAGAGGUUGAUCGGCCACAUUGGGACUGAGACACGGCCCAAACUCCUACGGGAGGCAGCAGUAGGGAAUCUUCCACAAUGGACGAAAGUCUGAUGGAGCAACGCCGCGUGAAUGAAGAAGGCCUUCGGGUCGUAAAAUUCUGUUGUCAGAGAAGAACGUGCGUGAGAGUAACUGUUCACGUAUUGACGGUAUCUGACCAGAAAGCCACGGCUAACUACGUGCCAGCAGCCGCGGUAAUACGAU
rnacentral:rRNA from 1 species